UAGUUGGUAAGGUAAUGGCUUACCAAGGCGAUGACGGGUAGGGGACCUGAGAGGGUGGCCCCCCACAAUGGAACUGAAACACGGUCCAUACACCUACGGGUGGCAGCAGUAGGGAAUAUUAGUAAUGGGCGAAAGCCUGAACUAGCAACGCCGCGUGUGCGAAGAAGGCCUUCGGGUUGUAAAGCACUUUUUGAGAGGAUGAGGAAGGACGGUACUCUCAGAAUAAGUCUCGGCUAACUACGUGCCAGCAGCCGCGGUAACACGUAGGAGGCGAACGUUAUCCGGAUUUACUGGGCGUAAAGCGCGUGUAGGUGGUUUGGUAAGUAGGGCGUGAAAGCUCCUGGCUCAACUGGGAGAGGCCGUUCUAUACUGCCGAACUAGAGGAUGGUAGAGGGAGGUGGAAUUCCGGGUGUAGCGGUGGAAUGCGCAGAUAUCCGGAGGAACACCAGUGGCGAAAGCGGCCUCCUGGACCAUUCCUGACACUCAGACGCGAAAGAUAGGGUAGCAAACGGGAUUAGAGACCCCGGUAGUCCUACCCCUAAACGAUGUAGACUGGCGUCGGUGGUUUAAACGCCAUCGGUGUCGAAGCUAACGC
rnacentral:rRNA from 1 species